rnacentral:rRNA from 1 species
CUUGCUAUGGUAUAACUUAGUGGCAGACGGGUGAGUAAUGUAUAGGAAUCUACCUAGUAGUACGGAAUAAUUGUUGGAAACGGCAACUAAUACCGUAUACGCCCUAUGGGGAAAAAUUUAUUGCUAUUAGAUGAGCCUAUAUUAGAUUAGCUAGUUGGUGGAGUAAUAGCCUACCAAGGCAAUGAUCUAUAGCUGAUCUGAGAGGAUGAUCAGCCACACUGGAACUGAGAUACGGUCCAGACUCCUACGGGAGGCAGCAGUGGGGAAUAUUGGACAAUGGGCGAAAGCCUGAUCCAGCCAUGCCGCAUGAGUGAAGAAGGCCUUUGGGUUGUAAAGCUCUUUUAGUGAGGAAGAUAAUGACGGUACUCACAGAAGAAGUCCUGGCUAACUCCGUGCCAGCAGCCGCGGUAAUACGGAGAGGGCUAGCGUUAUUCGGAAUUAUUGGGCGUAAAGGGCGCGUAGGCUGGUUAAUAAGUUAAAAGUGAAAUCCCGAGGCUUAACCUUGGAAUUGCUUUUAAAACUAUUAGCCUAGAGAUUGAAAGAGGAUAGAGGAAUUCCUGAUGUAGAGGUAAAAUUCGUAAAUAUUAGGAGGAACACCAGUGGCGAAGGCGUCUAUCUGGUUCAAAUCUGACGCUGAAGCGCGAAGGCGUGGGGAGCAAACAGGAUUAGAUACCCUGGUAGUCCACGCUGUAAACGAUGAAUGUUAAAUAUGGGAAGUUUACUUUCUGUAUUACAGCUAACGCGUUAAACAUUCCGCCUGGGGACUACGGUCGCAAGAUUAAAACUCAAAGGAAUUGACGGGG